rnacentral:rRNA from 1 species
GGACUACCGGGGUUUCUAAUCCUGUUUGCUCCCCACGCUGUCGCGCAUCAGCGUCAGCUACUGCCCAGCAGGCCGCCUUCGCCACCGGUGUUCUUCCGGAUCUCUACGCAUUCCACCGCUACACCCGGAAUUCCACCUGCCUCUACAGUGCUCAAGCACGGAAGUAUCGACGGCCGACUCGGGGUUGAGCCCCAAGCUUUCACCGUUGACUUUCCGCGCCGCCUACGCGCCCUUUACGCCCAGUGAUUCCGGACAACGCUCGCACCCUCCGUAUUACCGCGGCUGCUGGCAC